rnacentral:rRNA from 1 species
GACGAACGCUGGCGGCGUGCUUAACACAUGCAAGUCGAACGAUGAACAGGAGCUUGCUCCUGGGAUUAGUGGCGAACGGGUGAGUAACACGUGAGUAACCUGCCCUUGACUCUGGGAUAAGCGUUGGAAACGACGUCUAAUACCGGAUACGUGCUGCGGCCGCAUGGCCUGCAGUUGGAAAGAAUUUCGGUCAAGGAUGGACUCGCGGCCUAUCAGGUUGUUGGUGAGGUAAUGGCUCACCAAGCCUACGACGGGUAGCCGGCCUGAGAGGGUGACCGGCCACACUGGGACUGAGACACGGCCCAGACUCCUACGGGAGGCAGCAGUGGGGAAUAUUGCACAAUGGGCGCAAGCCUGAUGCAGCAACGCCGCGUGAGGGACGACGGCCUUCGGGUUGUAAACCUCUUUUAGUUGGGAAGAAGGGAGCUUGCUCUUGACGGUACCAGCAGAAAAAGCACCGGCUAACUACGUGCCAGCAGCCGCCGUAACAC